rnacentral:rRNA from 1 species
AUUGAACGCUGGCGGCAGGCUUAACACAUGCAAGUCGAGCGGGGGAAGGUAGCUUGCUACCGGACCUAGCGGCGGACGGGUGAGUAAUGCUUAGGAAUCUGCCUAUUAGUGGAGGACAACAUCUCGAAAGGGAUGCUAAUACCGCAUACGUCCUACGGGAGAAAGCAGGGGAUCUUCGGACCUCGCGCUAAUAGAUGAGCCUAAGUCGGAUUAGCUAGCUGGUGGGGUAAAGGCCUACCAAGGCGACGAUCUGUAGCGGGUCUGAGAGGAUGAUCCGCCACACUGGGACUGAGACACGGCCCAGACUCCUACGGGAGGCAGCAGUGGGGAAUAUUGGACAAUGGGGGGAACCCUGAUCCAGCCAUGCCGCGUGUGUGAAGAAGGCCUUAUGGUUGUAAAGCACUUUAAGCGAGGAGGAGGCUACUCUAGUUAAUACCUAGGGAUAGUGGACGUUACUCGCAGAAUAAGCACCGGCUAACUCUGUGCCAGCAGCCGCCGUAA